GCUAGUUUUACCCAACACAUAGACACGGCUAGUUUUACCCAACACAUAGACACGGCUAGUUUUACCCAACACAUAGACACGGCUAGUUUUAGACACGGCUAGUUUUACCCAACACUUAGACACGGCUAGUUUUACCCAACACAUAGACACGGCUAGUUUUACCCAACACUUAGACACGGCUAGUUUUACCCAACACAUAGACACGGCUAGUUUUACCCAACACUUAGACACGGCUAGUUUUACCCAACACAUAGACACGGCUAGUUUUACCCAACACAUAGACACGGCUAGUUUUAACGUGAUAUUGCGCUCCAAAGGGAUAACUUUAAAUGACAUGUAGGUUCAUGAAAUAAUUGAAAGAGAACUGUGUGAUGGUUUAUUAGCCUAGUGCUUGUAAGUAUUAAGGAAAUCAUUCUCCAAAGUACAAGGUGUACAUUAUUAUGGGUUGAUCGUAUAGAAAUAUCAAACAUUCUUUCAACUCCAAAGCAACAGCCUGUCUAUGGUGCAGGAAGCACUGCCCUUUUCUACGACCAAGACAUCUGUUGGUAACUCUAAGCUUGUUAGGACAGCUCAUGGGGUCUCCUAAAUAUCUCUUGACUAGGUGGGGGACUGUUAUGACUAAAUAAGCUUCCUGCAUAGCUUUUAUUGUUACCCAUAAGAGUAGGAGUGAAAUGUCUCUUAGCACCUACGACCAAAUGUUUUACUCUGAGAUGCUUUGUGGAUACAGCCCCAAGGCGCAUAUUCAACAAGUGCAUCCGAGUAGGAGAUCUAGGAUCAGGUCCUCCCUGUCCAUAUAAACCUUGUGCAUUAUGAUUUAAAAGCCAAACUGAUCCUAGAGGCUCUUUGUGAUAUAGGCCCAGAAAGGGAUUGUGAUCAUUAUGUGGCUCAAGAUGUGGAUCAAUAACAAAUCAUUUACUUGAUAGAAUUCCUUUGUUUUGUUCAAUCAAACGGAGGCACAAGUAGAUUUGGUUUAAACGUAACACUGAGACAUCAGCUGUCCCGAACUGAGACAUGGAAAAUGUGUCAUUGAGCUGUUGUCUGUUCUGGUUUCUUUUUAUUCUGGGGUCAUGUCAUAUUUUCACAGGUAUGAUUCUGAUUGAUGGCUUUUAUAUAGGUCUGCAGACCUCAGCGUUUCUUAUUGGACAAGACCAGGUAGUCCCUCCCUGUUUCAGUCCAUUUUCUACCAUUUGCUGCCUAAUGAAUAGGGGUCUCUGUUCCAGUAUCCUUUAAUGUCACUAUAGCAUACCACUUAGAAUGUAUGCCCAAUAAAAAUGUACGUUCUAAGUAGUGUGUAAAUUUGGACAUCGGUUGAAGCGUCCUACACAGGCUCUGCAGGAGUUCACCCAGGUCCUACACAGGCUCUGCAGGAGUUCACCCAGGUCCUACACAGGCUCUGCAGGAGUUCACCCAGGUCCUACACAGGCUGCAGGAGUUCACCCAGGUCCUGCAGGAGUUCACCCAGGUCCUACAGGAGUUCACCCAGGUCCUACAGGAGUUCACCCAGGUCCUACACAGGCUCUGCAGGAGUUCAGCCAGGUCAAGUCGGGCACCACGUCUUUGACCUACAACCAAGCAGACUCAGCCAAGGGAGGAAAAGCAUGCAGACAGUUUUUUUGCAUAAUACAAGCAGGUUGAUGUGUGUAAUCUCUGGAUAAUCUGUAGCCAUUUUAGUAUUCUUCUCAGUGACAACUCAGCCUCCUGCAAUCCUCCCAACAAUAGACAAUCAACCGAGAAUGUCUCUAUGUACCCAUAUGUCUCUCUACCACCAGUAGUGUAUUGUCCAUGUCAUGUAAUAAAAUGGGGUCAUAUAUUGGGGGGUGUAUUUUACAUGGAUCUGCUUUGAAACACUACGCACGCCAUCAUGAUUGAGGUCCUUAUUUUUUCUAAAAGAGUUAUUGUAAAUAAAGAACCAUGAGUGCGGUACAUGUCUCAGCUGAUCUUUUAAAACUUGUCCUGUAUUCAUAAACCGUC
ensembl:lncRNA